GUUAUGGUAAUUUAAUUAAAAUUAUAAUUUUGUAAAUUAUUAAUAAAUAUAUAAAUAUUUUCAUAACU
rnacentral:tRNA from 1 species